ACGGACAAGUCUGCUUCAGGCCACGGGACAAAUCCCAGGGUUUUGCCCCCAUUCUUAUUCAGCUGGGAGCGAGUGGGCCUGGGAGUCUUCUCGGCUUUCUAUUCUCCCUGCUAAUGGGCCAUUCCUUCCUUUGUGCGGACCAGCUGGGCCCGAACUCCAGAAAAUGAAAGAGCUGACUAGGAGACUGGGGGUGGGGAGAGACGGGCCUCCGGGCCCCAUCUGUAAAAUGGGGAUGAUAAUACUCUCUCCGCAGGCCUCAUUCAUUCUUCAAAAACCCUUUGGAAAGCAACCAGUACAUCCAGAGCGCUGUGCCAAGCUCUGGAAAAAGUGCGGCCUUGGACUGAGAAAUACCAAGGCCGGCUGGGAGGCCAAUACACGAGCCGGCGAGAGCGCGCCUUCAUUGAACGCACAUAAAAGACCAUCCCCUGAAGGUCUGGGAUGGAAGACAAAGGGCUAAAGGCGGUCGGGGGGAAGUUGUUAUAGUCCUAUAGUCCGGAGGAAUUGAGGAGGAGGUGGCUUUGAAUUGGGCAUUAUUUAAGGGACGGAUUGGAAUUCAAGUGGCAAAGUGGGGGUGGGUGGGGAGGGCUUUCGGGGAUGGGGCUAUUGUUAAAGGCACCACUCAUCCCCGGUUCUCCAGCCUUCUCCUAUUGGCUGGAGACUAGGCUCCCCUUCCCCGCUCCCCCGCCUCCGCGCCUGGAAUGGACUCCUCCUCACGCGAAUCUUUCCGUUGCUGACGUUUCUCCAGAAGCUCCUCACCGUCUUUCCAGACUCCCGUCGAAACAGAACACUGAUAGCAGGAAGAUGACAUGGACUGAAGAGAAGAGACUGAAACUGAUCUCCCAGUGCCUUUGGAAUGUACUACCCUUAAUUCUGGCUACAGAGUCACAGCCAAUUAAAGUCAUUUCUACUCACCACAUGGUCGGCAAGACAGAAUCAGUUACAGAAGCAGGUUUCCCAGUCUCUUUUCCAAAUAGGGAAUUGUAUCAGUGUCACUGUUCCUGGUCACAAGGAUAGGGCUCAGGAUUCAGUUCCCCAUUACAUAUCUAGAUGUAUAACUCUUGACCUAAAUGGCCAGUUGUGAGGGCUUCUCACCUCAUUGGUGAAGAUCACUGCUCUGUGCCUUUGUGAAAGAUGGCCAGAGUUGGUAAAAAUGGGAGAAAAGAGGGAUCUGCUCACCAUUUGACUUUCAGCAUUGAGAAAUAAAAUGCAGCAUUCCAACCUCCCUUCAUGUCGAUAAAGGGAUAUGUUGAACUUGCAACAUAAAAAUCAAGGAUUUCCCUCUCUCUCACUUGAGCUGAGUUAAUAGCAUUUGCAAUGAGAGAACUCCAUUCAGUGUUGUCUGGUAUAAAUUCUCCUAUGUAUAUUUUCUUUGAUUUCUGUUUUGCUGCCAAUUUGGAGAAAAGGGUUUAUUUGCUAUUUUGGGUUAAUUAUAGAACUGGCAUCUGAUGGGAAGGGGGUCAAAUCUCAAAUGUAUUAUGGAGAUAUAGAAUUCCUUGUUAAGGGGGCAGCUAGGUGGCUCAGUGGAUUGAGAGCCAGGCCUAGAGACAAGAGAUCCUAGGUUUAAAUCUGGCCUCAGACACUUCCCAGCUUGUGUGACCCUGGGCAAGUCACUUGACCCCCAUUGCCUAUUAAAAAAAAAAAAGGAAUUCCUUGUUAAAAACCAGCAACCGGGGCAGCUAGGUGGUUCAGUGGAUUGAGAGCCAGGCCCAGAGAUAAGAGGUCUUGGGUUCAAAUGUGGCCUUAGACACGUCCUAUCUGUGUGAUCCUGGGCAAGUCACUUAACCCCCAUUGCCUAGUCCUUACUGCUCUCCUGCCUUGGAACCAAUACACAGUAUUGAUUCUAAGAUGGAAGGUAAGGGGAUCAGGACUUUAACUUGAACCUAAAAAAAUAUAUCCCCUAGACUAAAAAUAUUUAAGGAAGCAGAUAGAUAUAACUCUAGCCCAAUACCUCCUAUCUCUGAGAAGAGCAAAUUAGCUGAAUUUCUGACCCCAAAUUCUUGCUUCCUCUCCUGGAAGGAAUCAAAGUCUACCCCUGAGAAAGGGGUGGGGGAGUGGGGAAGAAAUGCUAGAAAUGUCUAUUCCGUCUCCCCACGGGUUGUAUUAACACAGACUGAUAUGGAUAAACCUAACUUGCAGGGCCCCAAACCAGAACUGUACCUCACAUGAUGCAUGCCUCCCCUUAGGUAUAAAUUAAUUUGGAUAGUUUCAUUGUUAUCUCAGGUGGCUCUGACCCUGUCUCUAGAGGAAAUGACUGAGCAGAUGCCGCUGCAAAACUAGCAGCCAUAGAAGGACCUGGAUUAAUUUUAACAUUAAUAACCACUGAUAAUUUAAAUUUGUCACUUUCCUAUAAUGAAAAGGAAGUGGAAAAAUGGAAACAAAAAUUUAAAGCAAAACAGAUUAAUGGAGUGUGGGUAUCGUCUGAAGGGAAACCCCUGCUCCCUAGAAGUUUCUAUCACCAAAUUUGCCAAUCUGUGAAUAAAAAUGGUCACUUUGGUACCCAGGGCAUCAUGGACUCUGUUAAGAGAGUAUGGAUAGUCCCCGGUAUAACUACCAUAGCCUCUAAAGUGUGUUCAGCCUGCUCUACCUGCCAAGCAUAUAACCAACACGCCUUUUGUGGAAAAGCUUUCGGUGGGAGUCCUCUGGCUUACACACCUUUUGAGCACCUACUUGAUAGAUUUCAUAACAAUGCCAAAGGCCGGACAUUAUAAAUUUGUCUAGACAUAGUAGAUCAACUGACCAGAUGACCGGAAGCAUUUCCUGUGACCCAAGCCAUGGCGGCUUUUGUUGCUAAGGUGCUUUUAAAAGAAAUUAUUCCUCGUUUUGGCCUGCCAGCACGUAUUGAUUCCGAUAGAGGAAGUCAUUUUACUGAUUCUGUCUUAAACCAAAUAUAUUCUUGCUUGGGGAUAACUCCCAAAUCCCAUGUUCCAUAUCAUCCCCAGAGCUCAGGCCAAGUUGAAAGGAUGAAUAAAGAACUUAAAACUAUGAUUGGAAAAUUAUGCACUGAGACCCAUUUAGAAUGGCCUGAAAUUCUCCCUCUGGCCCUAUUUUAUCUUAGAAGCUGGCCUAGAGGAGACUUGCAUAUUUCACCAUUUGAGAUGCUUUUUGGACAUCUGCCUAUACAGGCUAAGCCUUUCUCCCCAGCAUAUACAUCACUAUUAGGGGGAGAUACUACUAUUGCUUCCUAUAUACAGGAAUUACAGCAUAAACUGCGUGAACUUUGAAUCUGGAGCUGCAGUACAAGCUGGACCACUAGACUUUUCACUUCAUGACCUGAACCCAGGAGACAAGGUGUAUAUUAAAAAUUUCCAGCGUACUGGAGCAACUCAGCCUUCGUGGGAAGGACCAUUCCAAAUAUUGUUAACUACAACAUCUAUAAAGGUUGGAGAAAAGGACUCUUGGAUUCAUUGCUCACAUGUAAAGAGAGCAUUUUCUGCUGAGACUGAUUGACUGUAUCCUAUCACAUGCAUUGAAGAUAAUAAUCCAUUGACAAGUGGAUACUGUUUUUUUUCAAAAACACAUUGAAUUCCUGAUUUUUUCUUCUCUUUCCCUUAUUUUUUUAUUAUUGUUUUUCUUUUGAAUAUUUGAUUUUUCCCCCUUUCCUCAUUUCUUGUACAAAAGGUACAUACAAUUAAAAUUUUUUUUCUCUCUCUCUGCAGUAAUAUAAAUUCAAAUAUACAUACCCAAACAGCUUUAGACUGUGGGAACCUGCCAUUUAUUGAUAAAAUGUUAUGGGACUAUGAUUAAUGUUUGUGUCUGAUUCCAGGAAAUGGGAUAAAAACAAGGAGCACAGACUUUACCUGAAUAGUGCCAAAAGAGCACACAGGAAAUACUAAUGUGGACUCGAGGUUGCGACGCUUGACAUACGUUAAGUCAUAGGACUUCCUUGUAUCUACACUCUUUAUGAAGUACUCAUAUAAGUACAAAAAUUUGACUAUCAUGCUGGCUCCCUAUAUCCUUGAGAAUGAAAAAAGUCAGACCAGGGAAUGACUCUUCCCUAUCAAAAUAAAAUUCUAGUUCCUUUCCUUCUUAUAAUAUGACAACUUCCUGUAGUCUUGGCUGCAAGUGGGUAAGUGAAAUAUUACUACAUUCUGUCCUACAGACUUGUGGAAUAGAAAUUACUAUAAAUUGGACCUUUACAAGGGCCCAUUAUGAAGUUAUUCUGGUUUACUCAACAGUUUAUACAUAGAUUUUGGUAUUUUGAUUCUGAUUUUGAAUUUUCUUCCCUUUCUCCCAAAAGUUUAACUUUCUUCCAUAUUUUUCCCUUUAUAUAUUUUUGUUUUUUGUUUGUUUUGUUUUUAAUUCUUUUUAAUAACUGACUCAUAUACCCCCAUAACUCAACAAUGCAUCCUGAGCUGAACUGGAUUUUUUAAACACCCACUUCAGGGGGGAUUGUAUUUUAAUAAAAUUCCAAGAUUUUGAAAAGUAACAUCUUCAAGGAAGAAGCUUGCUAACUCCUAAAAUCCAGAGAAUGAACUGUUGCAGAAAGAUGCCAGAAAACCUAUAUUACAUCAAGAUCAAGAAUGAACCUUGGGGUGUGGUUGCUUGAACUGAAGAUUGAUUGAAUUUAUUUUGAAUGUACACUCUUCUGCCAAAGGGGACUGCCCCCUAAUUGGCUUUUGUUAAUGUGCCCAGCAAAACAUUGGUUUUGCUGUCUCUAUCUCUCCUAUUUUUCCCUUAUCUCUAACUAUUGUAAUUUCAUAGCUAGUAUGUUUACAAGACCCAUCGGAGAGGUUAGCCUUCCUUGGGCCUCAAGGGGGAUUGUGAAUUUCAAAACUACUCAACCCUGUUCAAGCCAUUUGGCUAUUUCCUGAUCAAUAACAAUAGAGAUACUUGGAAUGACAGAAUCAGGUCUUGGAAACUACAAUCUCCACCCUACUCAGGGUAACAAGAUUUAGGAAGGGCUGCAGCAAAGCUCAAGAUUUAAUUAUUUGAGAAUAUGACCUUCAACAGACAUGUGCAAAGGGGACAGAUCUCUGGGCGGUCCUGGGUUAAGCUAGAGCCACCAUUGGCACAGGGGAGACACAGGAAGUGAGGUAGAGGACAGCUGAGGAGUCUGGGGACUAAAGGAGGUUGUUGGAGCCUGGUGCUUGAGGUGGAGGCCCUGAGACUAUUUCUCCAUUUUGGUCACGUGAGUGAUAGGGACUGAUCUCUUUUCUUUGCCUCGGCUAUCUAAGGCCUUGGGCCUUUGGCCCAGCCUAAGCAGAGGGGGUAUUUAAGCCCUAUUCCCUUUUCUCCCCUUUCUCUUCCCCCCCCCCUCUCUAAUACCUUUCUUCCUCCUGUUAGUAAUUAAAAACUCCAUAAAAGGUU